CGGGAAAAGCUCAAAUUUCAAAUCUGGCGCUUCCGGCGUCCGAGUUGUAUUCUGGAGAAGCGUCUUCCGCGCCGGACCGUGUACAAGUCCCUUGGAACAGGGCGUCAUAGAGGGUGAGAAUCCCGUCUUUGACACGGACCCCCGGUGCUCUGCGAUGCGCUCUCGAA
rnacentral:rRNA from 1 species